UACACCAUAGUCACGCCGUAGGAUCUCCAUGUACCUACUAGGCUACUACGCGAUAUGAUGGGGCUCCGUUUCGUUUCCCCACCCACAAGUUGCCAGGCGCCUAUAAGGUGGUAAUUUAGUCAUUCUGUAAAAUAAGCAACCAACCACAACUUGACGUGGCUCGUUAUAAUCUGUGUACUCUCUAGCCUCACGCUUUGGCGAGGCUACACAAUCCGACUCCCUAACUAUAAAUAAAUUCCACAUCUUAUCAUGCAGACGGAUACCAGAUUUUCACGGAAAAAAUAGAAAAAGGAAAGAUCGUGAAAAGAAAUUUAACUAACAGAACAAGUAACAGAGCACCGACACUGUAGCUCAAGACUGUGAACCCUAAUUCAAUCUAUGGCUUCUUGAUUAGGAAUUGAGUGAGCGGAGAGUGAUUGGAUCAUAUGAAGUGUUUGUUGGAUUGGUUUGGCUAUGUACUUUUCUUGCAUGUUUUCACUCCAAACAAACUUUUUAUCAAAUUCACAGAGAUUUUGUAUUUCAUUGGAUUUUGCAAGCUGGGAAAACGAGAAAGGCACUAUGGCUGAAGGAGAACAACGUGUUGAGCUUAAAUUCCGCAUUUAUGAUGGAACAGAUAUCGGCCAUAGUACUUAUGCACCAUCUACCUCUGUUGCAACUCUCAAGCAAAGGCUAGUUGCUGAGUGGCCUCAAGGAUUUAGGUUUUCAUAUUUUUUCUGGUGGUAUUUCUCCAUCCAAGUUUUUUAUGGGAUCUUUGCAUAUUCAGAUAAAACGAUCACACCCAAGUCAGUAAAUGAUGUAAAACUUAUACAUGCUGGUAAAGUUUUGGAGAAUAACAAGACAUUGGCUGAUUCAAGAGUUACCAUGGGCGACCUUCCUAAUGGUGUCAUUACCAUGCACGUCGUCAUACAGCCUCCUUUAGCUAAAAAGAAGAGAGGUUUGUUUAGUUUCUCAUCCCUUAUAUCUGAUAAGCAGAAUCUAUUUUGGAAUUUAUUCAGCUUCUGGGUUGUCCAUCAUGCACAUGAAAGGAUAUAGUCUGUAUAAGAUUGUCUUGUCUCCCAUUAAGUUUUGCCCAGUUUAAUCUAUGUGCAAUUCCUUUUGCAUUUAAAUUUCUUUUGGACUGGUCUUUAGGUUAUUUAAGAAUCCUUGUGAGAUAUAUGCAAAUGUGUAAAAUGGAUGUGGACUAAUGUUUCUCUUUGUUGUAUUCUGUAUGCUUGUUUGUUGUUGGCUUGCUUUAUUUUAUGGAAAAAAAAUAACAUGGAUUCUUUCCUGAUUCCAUGAACCUGGUUUCAGGAGUUCUUAUUUUUCAUUAAGAUCGCCUACAAUCAGCCACUAGAUACCUGGAUGUCAUCCUUGUUAUAUUACAGUAUCCCAAAAUUGAUGUUUGCUUCCUGUUCACCAAAGACAAGAACCAUGAAGAGAUGCAGAAGCAGAAUUCGUGCUCAUGUACUAUCCUUUGAGUUGGGAAGAAUGCUUUGUGGCCUAACGAGAUGGAAUGAGCAUUUAACAUUGUAUACUUUUGCUAUGUUCAAAUUGCCAUAUACGUGUAUGCAAGCUUGAGUGUGAUUUGUAUUUGUUUUACUUCACUUCAUGAUAAGUCU